rnacentral:rRNA from 1 species
CGCCUAACACAUGCAAGUCGAACGAGCGAGAGAGAGCUUGCUUUCUCGAGCGAGUGGCGAACGGGUGAGUAACGCGUGAGGAACCUGCCUCAAAGAGGGGGACAACAGUUGGAAACGACUGCUAAUACCGCAUAAGCCCACGGUGCCGCAUGGUACAGAGGGAAAAGGAGCAAUCCGCUUUGAGAUGGCCUCGCGUCCGAUUAGCUAGUUGGUGAGGUAACGGCCCACCAAGGCGACGAUCGGUAGCCGGACUGAGAGGUUGAACGGCCACAUUGGGCCUGAGACACGGCCCAGACUCCUACGGGAGGCAGCAGUGGGGAAUAUUGCACAAUGGGGGAAACCCUGAUGCACCGACGCCGCGUGGAGGAAGAAGGUCUUCGGAUUGUAAACUCCUGUUGUUGGGGAAGAUAAUGACGGUACCCAACAAGGAAGUGACGGCUAACUACGUGCCAGCAGCCGCGGUAAAACGU